rnacentral:tRNA from 1 species
AUUUUAAUAGCUCAAUUAUAGAGUUUUAUAUUGAAGAUAUAAAUGUGAAUAUUAAUUCUUAAAAUA